rnacentral:rRNA from 1 species
UACGGAGGGUGCGAGCGUUGUCCGGAAUCACUGGGCGUAAAGGGCGCGUAGGCGGCAUGCCAAGCGUGUGGUGAAAGCCCGGGGCUCAACCCCGGGUCGGCCGUGCGGACUGGCGUGCUCGAGCACUGUAGGGGCGGGUGGAAUUCCGGGUGUAGCGGUGGAAUGCGUAGAGAUCCGGAAGAACACCGGUGGCGAAGGCGGGUCUCUGGGCCGAUACUGACGCUGAGGAGCGAAAGCGUGGGGAGCGAACAGG